GAAGGUAUAGCUCAGUGGUAGAGCGCAUGCUUAGCAUGCACGAGGUCCUGGGUUCAAUCCUCAGUACCUCCA
rnacentral:tRNA from 1 species